rnacentral:rRNA from 1 species
GAUGAACGCUGGCGGCGUGCCUAAUACAUGCAAGUCGAGCGAACAGACGAGGAGCUUGCUCCUCUGACGUUAGCGGCGGACGGGUGAGUAACACGUGGAUAACCUACCUAUAAGACUGGGAUAACUUCGGGAAACCGGAGCUAAUACCGGAUAAUAUAUUGAACCGCAUGGUUCAAUAGUGAAAGACGGUUUUGCUGUCACUUAUAGAUGGAUCCGCGCCGCAUUAGCUAGUUGGUAAGGUAACGGCUUACCAAGGCAACGAUGCGUAGCCGACCUGAGAGGGUGAUCGGCCACACUGGAACUGAGACACGGUCCAGUCUCCUACGGGAGGCAGCAGUAGGGAAUCUUCCGCAGUGGGCGAAAGCCUGACGGAGCAACGCCGCGUGAGUGAUGAAGGUCUUCGGAUCGUAAAACUCUGUUAUUAGGGAAGAACAAAUGUGUAAGUAACUAUGCACGUCUUGACGGUACCUAAUCAGAAAGCCACGGCUAACUACGU